rnacentral:rRNA from 1 species
ACGGGGUGCAGCAGGCGCGAAACCUCCUCAAUGCACUCACGUGCGAAGGGGUUACCUCGAGUGCCAUCUGAAGAAGGUGGCUUUUCCUUGGUCUAAAUAGCCUUGGGAAUAAGAGGGGGGCAAGACUGGUGUCAGCCGCCGCGGUAACACCAGCCCCUCGAGUGGUGGGGAUGAUUAUUUGGCCUAAAGCGUCCGUAGCCGGCCGAGUAAGUUUCCCGUUAAAUCCAGCGUCUCAAGCGUUGGACUGCGGGAAAUACUGCCCGGCUAGAGAGUGGGAGAGGUAAGCGGUAUUCUGGGGGUAGGGGCGAAAUCCUUUGAUCCCCGGAGGACCACCAGUGGCGAAGGCUGCUUACUAGAACACGUCUGACGGUCAGGGACGAAAGCUGGGGUAGCGAACCGGAUUAGAUACCCGGGUAGUCCCAGCUGUAAACGAUGCACGCUAGGUGUUGGGUCGGCCACGCGCCGCCCCAGUGCCGCAGGGAAGCCGUUAAGCGUGCCGCCUGGGGAGUACGGCCGCAAGGCUGAAACUUAAAGGAAUUGGCGGGGGAGCAC